AUUCUGUAUGUGUGUGUGUGAGUGAGUGUUAGCGGUGUGGGCCGGGCAGCGUGCGCGGUGACGUCACGCCGCCGCGCGCAGGACGUAACCCCGGCGUGACGCACACCCGCGAGCCCCGUUUGUUUUAAUGUGGAAGUGGAUCUUGCAGCUUCAUGUAAAUCACACAAAGGAAAACAGGAUGUCAAGAGUGGUUUUCCUUAAUUUCAAUGAAGGACCAUUGCAGAGAGCCAUGGAUAUUACUUGUGAGUUGUAACAUCUUAAUUCAGAAAGUCUAGUGUAAAUGUACUUAAUGGACAGACCAGCAAUAUGGAUGAUUUAGAGAUCAAUACUGAAGUCACUGGUGCUAAAGAAGAAGAAGAAAUCCUCUGUGAUGAUAAUUUCAUAUCUGAGGAAGAAGGUGGCAUUCUUAAACCUCAGGAGAGCGACACGUCAUUUCAGAACAACACGUUGACUCUGCCUGAGGAGCUGUCAAGGGACGGAUCUGAAAAAGCCUUAAGUGGAGGCCAGGCUUCUCUAUUUAUACGCACUGGUGCUCCUACUGUUUCUAACGAAAACUUUAUCUUGUCUAGAGGAACUGCUGUUAAUGGACCAGUUUCACACUCCACCUCAGCUAAGACUUCCAUUAUGAAUAAAGGCAGUGUUUCAUUAACCACUGGACAGCCUGUAGGUCAUCACACAGAUUCCUGCUCAACUUUGACAGUGGUUCAUGAUCUUCAGCUGCCUGCAAAGAGUACAACACAGAAAUCAAAUCAGCACCAAGUUUUAUUUUUGUUACCUGAUGUAGCACAUGCUAAGAACCUGACUCAUUCCAUUAAAAAUCUACCUACCUCUGCUGCAAUUGGUUGUGAUUCACAGAAAUCAGUAGGAAAUAGUGUAGAUAGCACUUUAGUAGGCCAAGUAGAAGUUUGUGAGGAUGAUAAAAAUUUACUAGUAAAAGAUGAUUGUGUCGAUACAUUAACAGGCAUUUCCUCAGGUACAGGUGGUUUCAGAACGGGAUGUGAUCCCAGCUGGGAUCCACAAAAAGAAUUUAUCCAGUUUCUGAUGACAAAUGAAGAAACAAUAGAGAAGUCUCCCAUUCACUGUAAAGUAGGCUUAGAAAAAAAACGGAAAAGGAAAAUGGAUGUUAGUAAAAUAACACGCUAUACUGAGGACUGUUUUGGUGAUACCAGUUGUAUUCCUAGUAAAUCAAAACUGUUAAAUGUUGACUUCUUAGAGCAGAAUGAGGAGCUACAAAUGGUAGAACCACAAAAAUACUCACUGAGUAAAGUAAAGCCUGAAUCCCCAGAUGAAGAGCUGGAAGCUGUUGAUGCUAUCCAGCAGCUCAUUUACAGUCCCACUAGUAACUGUGCAGAAGAUACUUCUCCUGUUCACACUAGCACUUUUCUUACCAAUACUUUACAAAAUAAAUGUGAACAGGAUGAUUCUGAAUCGCCAUCCACUUUCAGUACUGACGAACCAUCCUUUUAUCCCUGUACAAAGUGCAAUGUGAAUUUUAGGGAGAAGAAACAUCUGCAUAGGCACAUGAUGUACCAUUUAGAUGGGAACAGUCAUUUCCGUCAUCUCAAUGUCCCCAGGCCCUAUGCGUGUAGGGAAUGUGGAAGGACAUUUCGAGAUCGCAAUUCACUUCUUAAACACAUGAUAAUUCACCAGGAAAGAAGGCAGAAACUGAUGGAAGAAAUCCGUGAGCUGAAAGAACUUCAGGAUGAGGGUAGAAGCGCACGGUUACAGUGCCCACAGUGUGUAUUUGGUACCAAUUGUCCCAAAACGUUUGUGCAGCACGCAAAGACCCAUGAAAAAGAUAAAAGAUACUAUUGCUGUGAGGAAUGCAAUUUCAUGGCUGUGACAGAAAAUGAACUGGAAUGCCAUCGAGGGAUCGCUCAUGGAGCAGUAGUCAAAUGUUCUAUUAUCGGUAGCGACAUGUCCCAGAGGAAAACACAGAAAAAGGCAUCCUUGAAAGAUCCAUAUUUAGGAUCCUCAAAAAAGUCAUCAACAUAUAUGUGUAAGAUGUGUCCUUUUUCUACGUCAACUAGAAGCAUUUUAAAAAAACACAUGGAAUAUUUGCACCCAGCAUCAUGCAUUGAUCCCUUUGGUAGCCAUCUUAGACUAGACAAAAGAAAAGGCAGCAUCAUAGAAGAAUCUUUAGAUUUCGGUAGCAGGACAAAACAGUUGAUCAAACAAUCUUCUACUUUUCCAAAGAACUCUGUUUUAAAACAGGAUGUAAAAAGAUCAUUUGGCUCUACUUCACAGUCCAGUAACUUCGCAAAACUUCACAAGAGACCCUACAGGAUACAGAAGGCUCGGAAAAGCGUUUCACAGACAUCUGUAAGUGUGUGCAAUCUAAAUUCCACAAACAAGACCUUUUUGGUUAGAAAUAGCAUUGACCAGAAACCUAAAUAUUUUCAUCAAGCAGCAAAGCAGAAAGCUAGUGUCAAAGCACGUGGUAAUAAUUUAUAUAGGCACAAAUAUGAAAACUACAGGAUGAUUAAAAAAUCUAGUGACUCUUAUCCUUUGCAUUUAAAAAAGGAAGAGUCCAACUCUGUCAGUUCUUUACAUUUAUUUUCCUCAUCAAGUAGUCCCCGUAAUAAUUGCUUUGACAUGGAUUCAAAUAAUCUUGAUUGCAAAAGGGCAGAAGGCUGUAAAGCUCGUAGGCGUGUAGCUGUAAAAAGAGUGGUUAAAGAAUCCAAGAGGGAAGGCUCUGUUACAGGAGAUGAUUUGGAUUGCUAUCCAGAUUUUCUGCAUAAAAUGACUGUUGUUGUUUUACAGAAACUUAACUCUGCUGAAAAAAAAGACAGCUAUGAAACGGAGGAUGAAAGUUCAUGGGAUAAUGUUGAACUAUGUGAUUACACUACACAGUCUGUGGAGGAUGAAUCUUACAGUGAUAUUAAUCAGGAGCAUGUAAACCUAUUCCCCAUAUUCAAAGGUAAAAUGGAAGAUCACGAAGCUGGUGAUAAAUCUUCACUUAGUUAUGAGCAGAAUGAUGGCUUUUAUUUUGAGUAUUAUGAAGAUGCUGAGGGUAGUAACUUCCUGCAUGAUUUGCAUGAUCCUCAGAAUUUAGAAAACGUAGGAUCAGCAUUGCCAAAGCAUAAUUCAGUUUUCCAUUGGACUGAUUUGUCGCUUGAAAAGAAGUCCUGCCCAUACUGUCCAGCAACCUUUGAAACAGGUGUUGGAUUGUCCAAUCAUGUCAGAGGACAUCUUCACAGAGCUGGACUAAGUUAUGAAGCCCGUCAUGUUGUUUCACCAGAACAGAUAGCCACAAGUGACAAAAUGCAGCAUUUUAAAAGAACUGGAACAGGAACUCCUGUUAAACGUGUUAGAAAAGCGAUUGAGAAGUCUGAAACUUCCUCUGAGCAUACGUGUCAGCUCUGUGGAGGCUGGUUCGAUACUAAAAUUGGGUUGUCUAAUCAUGUGCGAGGACACCUGAAGAGGCUUGGCAAAACCAAGUGGGACGCGCACAAGUCUCCGAUCUGUGUUCUGAAUGAGAUGAUGCAAAAUGAAGAGAAGUAUGAAAAGAUCCUAAAGGCUUUGAACAGUCGCCGCAUUAUUCCCAGACCGUUUGUUGCUCAGAAAUUUGCAUCAAAUGAUGACUUUUUAUCUCAGAAUGUUAUACCUCUUGAAGCAUACCAUAAUGGCCUAAAGACUGAAGAUACAUCUGUGUCUGCAUCAGAGGAAGAAGGGCUGAGUUUCCUGAAUGAAUGUGAUGAAACAAAAGCAGUACUACAUAAUGAAAAAAAAAAUCAGUCACUUACACUGAUAGAACUCCUGAAAAAUAAGAGGUUAGGAGAAGAGAGGAAUCCUGAUAUUUCUCCUCAAAAGAUUCACAAUCAAACUGCAAGAAAGAGGUUUGUUCAGAAAUGUGUUCUUCCAUUAAAUGAAGACAGUCCAUUGAUGUAUCAGCCACAAAAAAUGGACUUGACUAUGCAGUCAGGUUUGUUUUACUGUGGAAGCAUAUGCAGCUACAGCAAAGAUCUGAGAUCCACUGGCUUUCCAUGUCUUUAUUCUGUGCUGCUACACUUAAAACUGAUCAACCAGCACAAUGAGCUGAUCUUUGGUACCCUGGAAAAUCCUUCAGGGAGUAAAUUACUGGAGGGGGGUUUCAAAUGCAUUUUACUGUGCAGUAAUGAUGCGAAUAGAUAGCAAGUGAUUGAAUCUGAUAAUUCAUUAUUCCUUUACAAUUGGCAAUGUUUUUAAAUGGUUAAUUGAUCCAUUUAUGCAUGCAGUUAUUCAACUUUUGUUAGUUUACAUAUGCCGUGGCAAAAGUAAUGAAGUCUGGAUAAAGACCCUGCUUCAGUCUUCCUGAAAUGACAAGUGUUCAUGUUGGGGGACGUCAAGAAGCAGAGCAUGCAAUUUAGCAUAGAUGUCCUUUAGUUGUGAACCACAGACCAAACGUUAUGACAUGAAGGACCCCUAAUUGUGACUUUCCGAAUUCAUGCUGUUUUAGGCAUGCUCAUUUAAGCCUCCCAUCUCCAUCUGCUUGCAGUCUUUCUUGAUAAGUGGUCACGGAGUUAAAGAAGGGGUUUAUAUGCAGCCUUUUUACCUAGCAUGUAUUUUUCCAGGAGAUUUGAUGAAGUGGUGUAACUGGUUGUUUACAAAAAGUUUUUGGAAUAGCUACUAGGAAACACUGGUCUGCCAAACUUGAAGGGAGGAGGCUUCUUCCAAAAAGAAUUGGGCCUUUAUGGAGGAUGAGGAGGAUAGUUUGGGAGCUCUGAUAGCCACAACACAGGCAUUAAUGGUAGGUUGUUCCUGUGUCUCUGGCAAUUUGCUGCAAUUUCCAUGCAGCUUACUAGAGCUGAAUGUCCUUGAGCUCUUCCUGAAAGUGAUAAAAACAUAUUUUUCUGAGGAGGUCAUGCUUUGUUACAGUAAAGGAUUGGAAUAACAGUAACUUUUUGGUCAGAACAUGGCUUUCUUACAGGUGAGGCAAUGGUGUGACUUACUUGAUGCUUGCUUGUGAGCGUCAUAUCAACAGAGUACUUAAAGUAUGUGCAUGCGACUUCACUUCAACUUGUUGCUCACUGCACAGGCAGCGGAUGUAUGUGACAGUUACUGGUACACGUCUGAUAACUGGUGUUGGAAUUGCGUUUUUCAAUCAGCUUUACCCAGCUGUUAGUCUUUCUUCACUUAAUUUACUGCUUCAUGGGAGUAACUUCAAAAUGUACUUGUGCUGCUUUGUGCCCCCUAAGAAGUGAAGGAAUAUGUUCACUAGAUAAAAAAGAGAAAGGGAACAAAAAAUACUCCUUGCAGAGCACAGCUUUAGUAUUCUUAGUGCUUGCUGUCUUUUUGUAACAGCUUCUUGCUCAGGCAAAAUCUACUUCCAAUCUUAGCAAAGUUACUGGGAGAGUGCAUUGAGUGAUCUGAAUGUUUUUUUCGUGAUGUGUUUUAGGGUGAUGUUUUCUCUUCCUUGUUUGUAAUUGCUCUCUCCGGAGCUUCUGUCGUAAAUGGCUCAGAGAAGAUGCCCAUUCUUUUGUUUUCCUUGUUUUCUCAUUGUUCUUGGAAAAGGUAUCUUUCAAGGGAGUAGAAACUACCUCUCGAACGUGAUGGCAGUUUCUAUUUGUGUCGCUAUUUGGUUGCACACAGUAGCUCAUAGGAGUUGUUUCUUAGAAUAUUACACACACAAAAAGCCAUUAGGUUUUGGGAACUCUGUUGCAGAAGACCAGUUCAGGUCUAGUAAGAAAGUGCAAGCUCUGUGAAAUGCUUGGGAUGUAUGUGAGUAGAAUCUAAUUUCUUGAUGGGAAUGAAUGUCUUAUGUUUGCCAACGUGAAGGAAAUAAGCUAGUUCUUGUUUCAGAUGCAUGGAGGCUGCUCUAGAAGGAGCCUGCUGUCUACUGCCUUUUUUUUUUACUCAUAUCAACUGACAUCAACUAACUGACAUCAGAUGCAACUCAUGGAUGUGUUUGCAUUCAGAUACUGACUUCUGUCCCCUCCUUCCCACCAUGUUCUGCAAAAUGAGCAAUGAUGGCAAAGCUUUUGCUGUAAUAACUGCUUCAGAUAUGUUGCCCCUCAUGCAAGUAUUUCCCUUCAGAGAAUGGGUAUCUGGGUUUCAGUAUUUUAUGUGCUUACAUGUCUGGUGAUGUUGUUAACUGAUGUUGCGGUGUGUAUUUAUACUACUCGGUAGUUCCUACAGCCUGAAAGAUAGUUGGGGUUUUUCUUCCUAAUUAUAUGAAGAGUAAGCUUUUGAUGAGAGCAUAAAACAUUAAGAACCUAUUACUUGUUCACUUUUCCAGAAGUUAUCUUGGCCAUUUCUAUUUCUCUCUCUCCCCUGCCACGUCAGGUUACUGCCUUUAUAUCCAGACUGCUUUCAUUGUUGCUAUCAGAAAAAAAUGCUGUUGAGCCUCAUCUUCCUAAUGAUGGCUUGACCCAGGCUCUGAAGGAAGUCUCUUCAGGUUGAUAUCUGCUUUCUACUUGUUUGAUUAGUUCUCUGGUACCUUCAAAGCUCAAAAAUUCAUUCUAGAUACUGUAGGAAUCUUCAAACCUGGGGAUGGAACUGGGAAAUGUCGGGUGUAUCUACAAGUUAAAAGUUUGGCUACAGGGUAAAAGUUUGAGAGGUGUUCAUUUGGAGGACAUAACAAAUGCAGGAUGUGUGUUCUUUAAAUCAGCAUGUUUUGCCUCACCAGAUGAUGUCUUAUGCUUCAGAAUACUGAGAGAUUUAUUCUUCUGUUUUGUAUUACAGGAAUCAAAACUUAGACAAGUGUAACAAUUAUUUCAUUUUUGUUUUUAUUUUACUGUUAAGAUGCUCCAGUAGCAUAGCAUUUUGCCUUUGUGGUAUCAAGAAUACCACUUGUUACUGUCUUUCAGGUUUCUGUGGAGUUUUAGUGUCAGUGUCUUAAAGUACAGCUAGAUGUACUUCUCAGUUCAAGCAGUCCCAAAGUCUUGUUUUUUCUUGAGAUUUAUCAGAUGUUUUCAUCAUAACAAUAUUAACUCAGUUUUAUUCCCUCAUCCCCCACCUUUGGCUGCUGCUUAAAAUCAAACUUCAGGUUUUGUUACAGAUUUCCAUCACAUCUAUUUAUGGGAGGUACAGACCUCCAUGCUAACUGAACACAGUGGCUUUGUGUUUCCUGUCACACGCAUUAAUUUCAUACAUGGUUUCAAAUGCUUAGACUGAAUUUCAAGAGUGGCUUUGCCAUCCCUGUUGAUUGUCCUGAUACUAAGUCCCACUGCGAAGGAUUAACACAUAAUUCUUACAAGAUGCACUAGAAUUCAGACAGGAGUGAGGGAAGCUUCAUUUGAAACUUAAAAUAACAAACUUCUGCUUUAUGUUGAAAACAAAUGGCAGGUGGUUUAUUCAGACUAGAAAUUCUCAAUUGUAUUAGCUGAAAGCUACAACUUUAUGAAGUUGUAGCUUGGUUGAACAUGAGUGGUCUUAUGAUGGUCCUUGAAACACAAAACAAGUUCCGAGAUUUUGACAGCGUUUUACGCAUGAAAGGGAAUUUCCAAUGGUGCAUUGCUUCUCUUUCAUUCGCUAAUAGGUUAGUAGGUGCUUGCUGUUACUAAAACAACAGUUUAAUGCCAAAUGUCAAUUAUCUAGUCUUCUAAAGAGCAAGCACUAUGCUAAACUAAAAAAGCUUCACGUGUUUUGCCAGUAAAUUUCUUAGAGCACACUGUAAUUGUUUUCAAUUUACAUUAUAAUUAAAUGUAGAAUAACAAGGAGGUAAAUGUCUUUUCACUACUGCUAUAGGGGAUGCUUACUAAAUAUCUCUUGUUUGGUUAACACUUACUGAAGUAUCACUUUCACAUAUGGAAAUUUCUCUUCCUAGCUUUAGACUGUAAGCAAAAGAAGUCAAGGUCAAGAUCUGGAAGCAAGAAAAAAAUGCUGCCAUUACCUCAUAGUGCUGAUGAAGUUUACAUACUCAGAUGCAGGUUUUGUGGUCUGGUCUUUCGAGGACCUUUGUCUGUUCAAGAAGACUGGAUAAAGCACUUGCAGCGACACAUUGUCAACGCAAAUCUUCCACGGACUGGAGCUGGCAUGGUUGAAGUCACAUCACUACUUAAAAAGCCUGCUUCAAUUACUGAAACUUCAUUUUCUUUACUGAUGGCAGAAGCAGCAUCAUAGAACAAGGAAACAUUUUAAAUUUUAAUUGGAUGUAAAUUUGAAAUACUUUGUCAUUUUUUAAAAUAAAUUGCUACACUAAAUUAUGUUUAUAAAUGCUAAAGACAGAAAAAUAGAGGAAGUGGAUUACAGUAACAUCAAAAGAAAUUGAAUACUUAACAGUUACAGUAAGUAGUCUUUAUAUUUUAUAUAGGGUGGAAGAUGUGUUUUUAAGGUUUAUUAUGUUUUUGUCAGUUACUGUGUUCACUAUCAAUACAAGACCAUUACAUGUAUGGCAGCCAUUUUUAAAUUGUUGCACAUGGGUACUUAAAAGACAGAUUUUAAUAAAACAAAGAAUCCAUGUUCUCUUCAGUGUUACCCAAAUCAAGGCUCUGUUUAUUCCAAAAAGAAUUACAUAGUAAAAUAAGAUAUUAUUAUAUUUUGUUUGUAUGUAUGUAGUGUUUUGUAUAAUACCAAGAACUGCUAAUACAAUUUACUCAACUUAGGGCAUUAAAUAUCAUGUACUUCAUAGUUCAAGAGACUAUUUCAUUCAAAUAGGGCAAUUAGUACUAUUCUAUCUAGGUGUGUAAGUGUUUUUUUUAAAUCACAUGAGGCUUUUUGUACUAAAAAAGUGGAGGGAAACUUGUUUAAACAAAUUUCUAAGAGAAAUAUGUACAUAAUACUGGAAAUUUGUGGUAAGGAAAUAUUCUUUACUUCAGUUGCAUUUCUCACUGACAAUAAAGUGGUGCAUCCAUGCUACCUCCUACUUGUCAACAAAGAUGGUAUUUACCCUUAUGUUUUUGUAACAUAGUAGAUUCAAUCCAACUUUCUUUAUUACAAAGCAUUUUUUUUUUGUUAACGAGUUUGUUUCUUUAUGACAAUUUACUUAAAGUCUGACUCGCUUACAGAAGUUUGCCUCUCUACUAUUUUAUUUAACACUGUAGAAAUGUACUAAUAAGCAUUGCUCACUACACGGUUAGAGUAGACUUUUCAUUUAUAAUUCUGUUUAAAAGAUUGAUCAUUUUAGAGAAUUCGAACACAGGUUGAAAUGUUUCUACAUAUGAAGAGAAUGUUUACAACUUAAAAUUUAGAGCUUGUUUUGGAUGUGAUUAUAUGUAUGAAAACUGUAACACUAUGCUCAUGCUAAGGACCUACUUACAGAAUUACUGAAAUAAAUGUGCUGUGAGGAUGGAAAUAUGGUGCAGGUGUCUUGGUCAUGAUAAAUUGUGUUUGUUCAUUUAAACUGUCUUCAGAACAUGAUUUUUGUUUCAAUCAAAUUAGAUUCCUCUACAAAUCAAUUUUGUAUGCAAGUAACAUUUCAUUUUACUCAUAUAGGGUAACAGAUACUGUAGUUAAGCCAAGGAUAUGCAUUGAUAUUUUCUUUAUAUGUAAAUAAAGUUAAAAGCAGUUAAAACAAGAGGAGUAUUUUGGUAGAGUAUAUACAUACCUCACUGCCAGUGAAAUUGCUUUCCUAUGGUAUAUCUCCUUACCAGAAAAAUCUCUAAAUAAAAAGGUUUAAAGAAAAUCGAAAUGUCUAUAAUGUGAAGCAUUUAUUUGCAUUGUGUGAAUUAAGUUUGUGAAAUUGAUUUGUCUUGCUUGAGAUUAGAAUCUUCUCAUGAUCUUAAGUAAAAGUACAUUUACUUGCAAUAAACUGACUUGUUCACAGACGCGUUACAUUGGAUUGGUGGAAAAUGUGAAGGGGAAUGUCUGUCUACCUGUACGUGCACAGCUCAGAGUUAACUCGUGAGGCUUGUGAAUGUUCUGGUGAAAUAGAUGGGCUCAAACUGCUCAGCUCUGCAGGACAGGGUCCUGAGACAAGGCCAUCCGAGCUCUGUCAAGGCUUUCAUUAAAUCAGUGCUAUCGGGUGUUUUACUGUACAAGUUGCUACAGAUGAUUUUAGCUUUAUGGUCAAAAUUUAUUCCCUUUUUUCUAGCUGGAAGAUCUACAUCAGUACUGGAGAACAAAAUAGAGAUUUUAGGAAAGGUAACUGGGAUGCUGAAGUGUGUUGCAGACAAAUUAUGUGUAUGCAGACUAACAAAGUUCAAAAUUAGUGGGCGAUUGUGGGAUUUUUUUUAUACACAAUGAAAAUGGAACUUUGACAGCAGUGUGUGAAACGGGAUAGAGGGAAGUGAUCGAAUCACCCUGAAUGUUUAUAAUGCUUUAAUAGAGUGCUUGUUUACCUUCUCACCAAAAAAGGUGCUUGUGGGAGCACCAUAUUUUGUGGCUAUUUAACAGAUAAAUCAAUUAAGUGCAAAUGAUAUUUAUCUAGUAUUGUAAUUAUCUAGAAUUGUAAGGUGAAGCCAUACCAUGCGGAAUUUCGCAUUAGCAAGGAACUCCAUUAGGUUCAUAAUGAUAAAAACCCUAGUUAAUUCUGAAUUAUUUAAUUCAUUAAAUCCCAAUAGUGAGCUGUUUUGUGUAACACUAAAAUGCUAAAAGGUUGUGUCUGAAGAGCAGGGAGCUUUAGGGCUGAUUAGUUUCCAAAUGAGAUUCUUUCGAUGAGGAGCAGCAGUUUUCAGUGGCAGGCUUGCAUCAGAUCCUUGACAAUGUAAUUUGAAUUACAUACAGAAGUUCCAGAACUCUUCUGAUUAUUAAGUUAAUUGCAUAUAUGGUUGAUACAGACUGAAUGAUCUUUAAAAACUACUAGUAAUUGAGUUACCCUUGAGCUUUCUUUAGCCUCUAGUCGUCUGUGGGGCUGUUUUCUUGGUUUCUGUUGUUUGGAAAUACAGAUCUUCUGUCACUACCUACAAGGAGAAAAAAAAUCCCCCUUUCCAGAGUUACAGAGAUUCUAAAUAAUCUGGUAGAAGCUUUAUGAUAUGAAUCUCAUGUUUUGAGUUGUGUGGCUUGAGAGGCUCCAUGUCAGUCUGUGCCACGGGGCUGGACUUACAGAGCUGCACAUACAAACACAAGCAUUGGUCUGUUCACGUUAGGUAGGUUGCUUUGGGAUGAAGGCUGCAGUGGUGUAGCAGUUUUUGGUAGUGUGUUUAGGCUGUAUGUGUGGAAAAUGGGAGAUGGAGGCAAAUGGAUAACAAAUGUUGGCUCACAAAGAUCCAUGGGCACUUGCUGCUGUUUGCCAUAUACUGCUUCCUAUGCAUUGCGUGAAUUGUAUUAGGUGAGCUGCUCCCACAGGCUGAGGCAGUCCAGUUCUGCCCACAGAUCCAACUUCUGCUUUCCCAGGGUUCAUCUCACCCAGACAGUGGUGCCAAAAGUGAGCUGCUGACUCCUCUAUAGGAGAAAAAGCACAGACCAGACAACAGCCACUGGGGAGGGAGAGCAAGCACAUAACGUGCCAAAGGUGGGGAUUGUAACAGUUGGGGCCAGACUUUCCGUGUUUGAGCUAUGUGUCUGUUCAAGGUCCUGCCUUUUCAGCCACGCUCACGGAAAUCAACAAUGUCUCUGAGGUAAGUGGAUCACAGGAGGAAUGUGAAUCAUGAGUUGAGGUUCAGAGAAGUGCGUCCAUCCAGAGUUUGAAAAGGUCAGCAUCAUGGGUCUGAGACGGGGAGAGCUUUGCCUGCAAAGCUGAUUUGACUCCCAGUGCUUUUUCUGGGCCAGUUGUGGUUCUAGAUUUCCUGUAUAUCACUAGUGCUUUAAAGAGGGAUUUCUCAUUAAAUCUUCUACCUGACUCUGAAAACCUACAGAAGAUAAAUGUUGGCUGAACAAAUGUGGGGAAAAUGAACAGCAAAUACCAAGUUCUUUUAUCUAAGUGGUAAAGGUUGCAUGCAAAGCCUGUUCAGUUGAGCACUAUGGUUAACAGACUUUUCCACUUUUUGUCACAGUAGUUAAUGCCCUGGAUACUUAAACACCAUUUGAAUAUUUAAAAUUAAAUUGGUUUAUAUAGUUUUGACUUUGUUUUUUAAAUCCUUUUAGGAUGGUACUUCUUUAAAAAAACCUGACUGCAUUAUGAUUUCAGAUAUUUCAAUCCACCGUGAUUUGUAGGUGCUGUUGCCUGAUCCAUGGGUAGCAAUUUUGGUGUAAUGGAAACAUGUGGCCAUAGCGCCAGGUCUGUAAUCUCUUGCAAUAAAAUGUUCCUUUUUAA